rnacentral:rRNA from 1 species
UACGGGGGGGGCAAGCGUUGUUCGGAAUUACUGGGCGUAAAGGGUUCGUAGGUGGCCUGCUAAGUCACACGUGAAAUCCCUCAGCUUAACUGGGGAACUGCGUGUGAGACUGGCGGGCUUGAGUGCAGGAGAGGAACGCGGAAUUCCAGGUGUAGCGGUGAAAUGCGUAGAUAUCUGGAGGAACACCGGUGGCGAAGGCGGCGUUCUGGACUGCAACUGACACUGAUGAACGAAAGCCAGGGGAGCAAACGGG